GUGGGGAAUUUUGGACAAUGGGCGCAAGCCUGAUCCAGCAAUGCCGCGUGCAGGAAGAAGGCCUUCGGGUUGUAAACUGCUUUUGUACGGAACGAAACGGUCCUGGUUAAUACCUGGGGCUAAUGACGGUACCGUAAGAAUAAGCACCGGCUAACUACGUGCCAGCAGCCGCGGUAAUACGUAGGGUGCGAGCGUUAAUCGGAAUUACUGGGCGUAAAGCGUGCGCAGGCGGUGCUGUAAGACAGGCGUGAAAUCCCCGAGCUCAGCCUGGGAAUUGCGCUUGUGACUGCAGUGCUGGAGUACGGCAGAGGGGGAUGGAAUUCCGCGUGUAGCAGUGAAAUGCGUAGAUAUGCGGAGGAACACCGAUGGCGAAGGCAGUCCCCUGGGCCUGUACUGACGCUCAUGCACGAAAGCGUGGGGAGCAAACAGGAUUAGAAACCCUUGUAGUCC
rnacentral:rRNA from 1 species